CCCACGGCUUUCGCCGUGGGCUAGAAUCUUCCGCCCCUGCGGGGCU
rnacentral:sRNA from 1 species